rnacentral:rRNA from 1 species
UGAUUGUUAUAGUGGAUACCUCGGCUUAGAAUGCGAUGAAGGGCGAAAUAUAACUUGCUUUUUUGAGUGAAUUGUAAUCUUUCAACCUCUUGUCCCUGAAUACAUGGAAAGCACCCCUCGGGCGUGUUAUUAUCUUCAGUGAAAUUU